rnacentral:rRNA from 1 species
CCUACGGGAGGCAGCAGUGGGGAAUAUUGGACAAUGGGCGGAAGCCUGAUCCAGCAACGCCGCGUGAGGGAUGACGGCCUUCGGGUUGUAAACCUCUUUCAGUAGGGACGAAGCGCAAGUGACGGUACCUACAGAAGAAGCACCGGCCAACUACGUGCCAGCAGCCGCGGUAAU